rnacentral:misc_RNA from 1 species
GUUUUUGAUUCAUGAAAUCUACAAUGGACUGAUGAUGAGGAUUAGCUGCAAUGGAUGAAAUGUGAAACUUCCAAUUUCAAUAACCUUUAGAUGGUUAUCAUGAAACAAUUAAGUAUCAAUAUACUACAUAUUACUGGAGAAGCUUGUAGAAAGUUGGGAAACUUUCUUAAACUGUUUAUUUGAUUUAUAUCAAAAUUUCGGAAUUUUUAAUGGAAUUAUUGGAGAAAAAUCUCUUUGGCUUGAUUUUUCAAUUAUAUUAGCGGAUGUGGUAACUUCGUAAGAGUUAAUUUGUAUGUAUAGAUUCUUUACUAAAAGGAGACUGAUUAUUGGAUUUUUUUUAAUUAGUUUAUUGAUGAUGAUGUGAAUUCGUUAGUUGAAUGCAUUCUUUGGUUUUUCAGUCUCUCUGAUUAUAUGUUCAGUUUUAGUGGUGGUGAAUUGGAGUA